UACGGGGGAGCAAGCGUUGUUCGGAAUUACUGGGCGUAAAGGGCUCGUAGGCGGCCAACUAAGUCAGACGUGAAAUCCCUCAGCUUAACUGGGGAACUGCGUCUGAUACUGGAUGGCUUGAGUUUGGGAGAGGGAUGCGGAAUUCCAGGUGUAGCGGUGAAAUGCGUAGAUAUCUGGAGGAACACCGGUGGCGAAGGCGGCAUCCUGGACCAACACUGACACUGAGGAGCGAAAGCCAGGGGAGCAAACAGG
rnacentral:rRNA from 1 species